AACGAACGCUGGCGGCGUGCCUAACACAUGCAAGUCGAACGAGAAAGGGGCUUCGGCUCUGAGUAAAGUGGCGCACGGGUGAGUAACACGUGGGUACCUGCCUCUAAGAUUGGGAUAACUCGUCGAAAGAUGAGCUAAUACCGGAUAAGACCACAGUUCCCGCGGGAACAGGGGUCAAAGGUAGCCUCUGCUUGCAAGCUAUCACUUAGAGAUGGGCCUGCGCACCAUUAGCUAGUUGGUAGGGUAACGGCCUACCAAGGCAAAGAUGGUUAGCUGGUCUGAGAGGAUGAUCAGCCGCACUGGAACUGAGACACGGUCCAGACUCCUACGGGAGGCAGCAGUGGGGAAUAUUGCGCAAUGGGCGAAAGCUUGACGCAGCAACGCCGCGUGAGUGAUGAAGGCCUUCGGGUCGUAAAGCUCUGUCGGGAGGAACGAAUGCUCCCAAGGUUAACAGCCUCGGGAGGUGACGGUACCUUCAAAGGAAGCACCGGCUAACUCUGUGCCAGCAGCCGCGGUAACAC
rnacentral:rRNA from 1 species